rnacentral:rRNA from 1 species
CCUACGGGUGGCAGCAGUGGGGAAUAUUGCACAAUGGGGGAAACCCUGAUGCAGCAACGCCGCGUGAGUGAUGACGGCCUUCGGGUUGGAAAGCUCUGUCUUCAGGGACGAGAAUGACGGUAACUGAGGAGGAAGCCACGGCUAACUCCGGGCCAGCAGCCGCGGUAAUACGUAGGUGGCGAGCGUUGUCCGGAUUGACUGGGCGUAAAGGGAGCGUAGGCGGCCUUUUAAGUGAGAUGUGAAAUACUCGGGCUCAACUUGAGUGCUGCAUUUCAAACUGGCAGUCUAGAGUGCAGGAGAGGAGAGUGGAAUUCCUAGUGUCGCGGUGCAAUGCGUAGAGAUUAGGAAGAACACCAGUGGCGAAGGCGCUUCUCUGGACUGUAACUGACGCUGAGGCUCGAAAGCGUGGGGAGCAAACAGGAUUAGAUACCCUUGUAGUC